CAAGACUUAAAUAAUAAGGACAACAGCUAGGGAAAAGAAAAUUCAUUUUUCAGAUUAACAAUUCCAAAAAAAUGGGCCAGCUAAAAAAAUCACCGGAUUUACAACACUACUCAUCACUGUCAUAAAGGGAAAAUCUAUAUAUUGAGUAACGACGUGCGAUUGUGCUCAUGAAAAACGGCGAGUAACACUGAGAAUUUCUUGAGGGGUUAUUUUCUAUAUUUUUUAAGCAACGUUUGUCCUUUCGAAGACUCCUAAUAACUCCGGGUAAUGCCACUGUACUCCACUACUCAUUAUACCUCCAACCCUUUGCAUAAAUGGAAGAUCAAGAUUUCUGUGAAUGAAGGAAGUUAUUUUUCUCAGAAGAAUUUUCCCUUUUUUUCCCGAAAUUGUUUUAUUCUUUUUCCGGGCUCAGAAAGUAUAUUUAGAGAAUUAUAAAUGAGUAUUCAUUCCGUUUCAAGAUUUGAAAUAGUUUCUGGUUAAAAUGGCAAACUAGCUUUGAUAAAAGACAAAUGGCUUCCAAGAGUUGGAUCUUUGAGAACUUGCUGGCAAUUUUUCAUAAUUAUGCAGUACAUGACAGCCUUGACCCAUGACCUCAAUCAGAUUCAAAUUAAAUUACACAACAUCCAAUCAGAGAUAGGAACAUUUGGCGCAAAAGUAUUUCUUCUUCGUUGCAAGAUUCAAGGGGGAUUAUUCAACAGUAACAUUGUACCAAAUAUUCUCCUCCUCUAAUCAGUUGUUGUCGGAAUUUGGCUCCCUCACAUAUACGAUCAUGUAGUCUCAUAAUGUCUUUGAUAAUAAUUUUGUCUCUAAAAAUGAGGUCAAAUAAGUCAUAUUAUCCAUAUAAAUAGUUGCAUCAUAUCCCUCCAAAAAGAGAGAGGGUUUUUUCUAUUGUUUUCCCUCCUAAUGAAGGAUAUUCCUUCCAAAAAAUAUCAUUAAAGCUGUUGUGUAAUCUUUUUUUCAUAGCAGAUUA
rnacentral:lncRNA from 1 species